rnacentral:tRNA from 1 species
GUCGUCAUGGCUGAGUGGUUAAGGCGAUGGACUUGAAAUCCAUUGCGGUGUCGCCGUGCAGGUUUGAAUCCUGCCGACCAUG